UACGAAGGGGGGCUAGCGUUGCUCGGAAUCACUGGGCGUAAAGGGUGCGUAAGCGGGUCUUUUAAGUCAGGGGUGAAAUCCUGGAGCUCAACUCCAGAACUGCCUUUGAUACUGAAGAUCUUGAGUUCGGGAGAGGUGAGUGGAACUGCGAGUGUAGAGGUGAAAUUCGUAGAUAUUCGCAAGAACACCAGUGGCGAAAGGCGGCUCACUGGCCCGAUACUGACGCUGAGGCACGAAAGCGUGGGGAGCAAACAGG
rnacentral:rRNA from 1 species